rnacentral:rRNA from 1 species
GACGAGUCUCACAAACGUUAUUCGGAAUUACUGGGCUUAAAGGGUGCGUAGGCGGUGAGGUAAGUCGGAUGUGAAAUACCUUAGCUUAACUAGGGAACUGCAUUCGAUACUACCUUGCUUGAGUAAGACAGAGGUGAGUGGAACUGAGGGUGGAGCGGUGAAAUGCGUUGAUAUCCUCAGGAACACCGGUGGCGAAGGCGACUCACUGGGUCUUUACUGACGCUGAUGCACGAAAGCUAGGGUAGCAAACGGG